rnacentral:misc_RNA from 1 species
UGGAAGUGUGCCGCCGCCGCCGCCUCCUCCCCCUUUCUCUUUAUCGGCCUCCCUCCCCAACAGUGCAUCAAAGCCGUGUUUUUUUAUUUUAUGUUAUUAUUACUAUUAUUUUUUGUUUGUUCACUUUCGUCUGGCCUCCCCAAACACCAGCACCGACAGCUGCCGCCGCCGUAGCAGCAGCAGCAGCAGCAGCCCGUCUCUCACCUCUUUUCCACGUUCUUCACCGCCACCCGCACCUCGAAAAAAAAAAAAGAGACAACGAUACACACACACACACCAGCGAAGAAUACGUGAAGACACCACCACCAACACAAAGCAAGUAUUCUCUUUAGUGCGUCUUAAUUAGAAAACGCACGCACACGCGGGGAACCAAACUUAGAAAAAAAAAACAGUUUCGGCUAAAACUAGAAGAGGCGGCAAUAAACGCUUCUUCAGCCGGAUAGUGAUUUGCACCAACGUAGCAACUCGGCGAGAGACGCGCUGACGGGGGAAGGACAAUCGACGGCGAGGAAAUCGCUCUGCUUGGAACGCGUCCAGAAAGCAAAAGGAAGGCAAACACCGUGACGAGAGCGCGAACCAAGGAGGGCAGGUAACAGGUGCCGGACAACGAAGCAAGAAGCGUGCGAAUAGUCUUCCUGUGCUCUGUUCGUGCCCGUGUGUGUUGCCGCUGUAACUUUUCCUGUGAAGGUACGAAAGAAAUACAUUACCAAGGAAAUUCAAAAAGAUAAUAAAAGGUAAAGGAUCACUCAACCCCUCUUCCGCCCCGCGCAACCUACGUAAAGGAGCACAACCAAUCAUAUCUGCGACGCCGUUGCACCGCUGCCGUGACUUAUCACCACCCUCCCUCACACACGGAGCCUUAUCCGAAUUGGUGCUGUUGCUUCUUCGUAUUGUUCUGAUUCUUAUCAUCACGCGCUUCUGCGCUUCUACCGUGCACCCAGUGCUCUGCGGCCUCGCUAUUCUCAUUGCUCGCCACACCGCACCUCCGCUGUGUUCCUGCCACAUUGCUGCUACUGUCGGCUUUUUUGGGGGGUUACUUGUAUGCGUGUUCGUAUUCUCUCCUUCUGUGAGCAUACCUCUUUGUUUCUUUAUUCUUGAUCGUGUCGGAGCAGCAAAAGACGCCGCAGGCACCGCUCAUUCAAAAGGGGCAGCCCUAUUGUUUUCUUCCGGGGGUGAUAACGAACUCCGGGACGCUAUCAAAGGACGGCAGCGUCGAAUCAGCGGUAAGGAAGAAACAGAAACUCAAGUCUUUUCCACAGCUUCGUUUUUUUUUCUUUUGUUGUUUGUAGUUUGCAUCUGGCGCUCAGUGCUACAUACGUCUUUCUGUCUUCUUUUUCAUUGUCUUAUUUUUCUUUUUGUUUCUCUUGUGCUCGUGUCUACCCUUCAGAGAACACAAGACAGGUGGAGCAUCACUCAGACAGAUUACAUCAAGCGAAAAAAAAAAACAGAACAACAACAUAAAAACAUUCAGACGGGACAUACGGCAGAAGGAACUAUAUCGAGGACAUCCGGGAGGAUACCGCACGAGACGAGCCAAAAGGAGGAACUAUCUGGUUGAGCAAAGAAAGGACGGCACGUUGACACACCGCGGUAUUUUCCGUGGGCACUUACGCAAACGUGAUUUCUUCGCGGUUGUGUGUGUGCGUGUGUGUGCCUUGAUUGCAACGUGUAUCCCUUUACACCCCCUCCCUCCCCUCCUCCUUCCUGUACUCAUCCCAUCCACUUCCCUCCCCUUGACCGUCAUUCUCUUUUUUUCCCCGUUUUUUGACUUGUUUUACUGUUUACUGAGUCUCUCCCUCUCUGUGUUUCACUUGACCCCUCCUCCUUCCCCCUUUCCCUACUCGCAAAAACACCAAAAAAUCAAAAACAAUCACCACUAUCACUACCACUACCAACACCACCCUUCCCACUUGUCUCUCUUUCUCUUUUCCGUUGUUGGGCUGCCUUCAUUUUUUUCUUUCGUUUUGCCAGCUCUCUCUCUGUCGGUCCGUCCGUCUGUCUGUCUGUGUGCGUGUGUGUGUGCUGGUCUCGAUCUCUCUCGAUUCCAUCAGUCCGCCGUCUCUCCCUCUCUCUGCAUUUUGGUUCCCUGUCCCUGUCUGCUUGCGUAGCCGCAUUUAGCUCAGCUUCUCGACAGAUUGCAGGUGUCUCUCUUUUUUUUUUUCAAAUCAUCGCCUCACAUUUUUCUUUCGUUUGCUUCGCCCUCUCUCGCCUUUUUCCGGUGGUCGGAACGUUGCGUUUUCCAUCUUUCUUCUUGGUUUACGGGUGUGUGCGUGUCUGCGUGUGUUCGUUCUCCACUCUCUCUUUUCUCUGGAGGGCAUCUCUCUCUGUCUGUCUCUGUGUGUGUCUCUGUGAGUGGGCGUGUGUGUGCCCGCAGCGAAAAAAAAAAACAGACCACAUUUAGAAAACUAAAGAAAGAAACACUCUUUUUGUUUUCGCUUCGUCUUCCCGCUCUCACUCACUCACUCCGUCUCACGUACUCCGUCUGUCUCGCUUUCUUUUGUUGUUCUCGUUGUGGUUCGAUUCUAAUAGCCUCUCUUAACUUUGUUUUCCACUUGUUCUUUCUGUUUUUUCUGUGCUGCUUCCCCUGUGUUUGUUUGUUUGUAGCUCCCUCCCCUUCCUUUCUGUCCUGCCACUCUAUAUCUCCUCGUGAUUUGGCGUGUUCCGGCCUUUCGAGUCUGUGUGCGUUGAUUCCCAGCGCACGCUUUCGCAGUACUCCCCUCCUCUUGUUUUUUUUUUACUGUGUUGUGUGUGCCCGUUUUUUUUUUUCGUUUCUGUCGGUUUGGCAUCUAUAUAAUUUAUUCGGUAGUCGUUCUCGUUUUUCACGAGAGGUGUCGCCGCCGUGACUACAUCCGCCCCACUGACGCAGCUCCCUCCCCCUCCUUGUUUCUCUCUCGUUCUUUGCCACCCACCUUUUGUGUGUACGUGUGUUUGCGCUUUUUUCUUUCCGUUUUUAUUGUGGUUUUUGCAUCUCCCUCCCUCUCUUCUUUUCUCUCAGGGUAACGGUGUUACUCUUUCUUUUCGCUUGUGUGUGUGUGUGAGUAUUUUGUGUUAUGCCCUCUUUCGCUUUUUUAACUCUUAGCCAUCACUGCCAUCGCUGUUCCUCACUUCCUCUCGCCCUCUCAGUUCCUCUUGCACGCGAUUUACACAAUCGUAGAGUUUCCCUUUUUUUUUCCUUCCUCGCUUCUGCGGCCCGGCCCCUUCUGCUGAGCGCCUUCGCUCCCUUAUAGCGUCGCAACCUAGCGCGCCGACCGCUCUGCAGCACCGUCGAGCUCGUUGAGGUGGUAGUCAUUUUUUAUUUCUCUCGUUCUUUCAGAAGGUGUCCCUGCACUCUUCGCCUUGUUUGACUGGCGCAGACGCAUAACACGAGGAGCGCGUCUAGUUGCAUCUUCAGCACACGCUCUACUAGCUUGUCUCGUGCACUUGCUUGCUCAUCGACUCCCGCAUAACUGGACUCCCUGUAUAUCGCUCUCUUUAUUUUUCCUUGAGGUGCUUCUCUUUUAUGCUGUCAGUGCGUUUCUUGUUUGCGGUUUUUAAGCUAAUCUAGCUGGUUUCCUUUUUCUUCUUGUCUUCGUUCUUUGUACAGCUCGUGCUCUCGACCAUCCACUGCCUUUUUUCUGCUUCCGAUUGCGCCCUCCCUCCCCCCACCCGUCCACCACCCUCUCUAUCUAACCUGCCGGUACCUUUUGGUUUAUUCCAUUUCGUGUCAGUAGCGGCGUAGCUACCAUCAUGCAGAACAGCAACAGCAGUUAUCCCUCGCAGAAGCCGUACCGCGGCCGAGGCAUUACGGAUGGCCCCAGCAUGGGCACGCCGCAUUCAACCUACUCGCAGCAGAAACCUCCCACGUCCCCGCUCGUGUUUGCAGCGCCGGGUAGCGGAACGCCCCCGCAGCAGCAGGAUCCCCUCUCCGCUUCGCUGUACUCUGAGCCACUGCCGAUGAACUAUAAAGCGCCGCUGGGGCGUCACAACAGCCGCACCCUCAUUGAGGUAGAGGAUAGUCCUAUCAAAGUCACUUGCCUCACCAAGGGUGGUACCCGCUCGCCGUACAUGACGCCGAUGCCGAGCGACAUGGCCCCCGAUGCGGACCGCAGCGGCCGGCACAAUCCCUACACCUUCAGCUACUCCGGUAGCUCCAGUCCCAUACAGGUGUCCACGCCGACACACUCGCCACAGGCCAGCGCGUUCGACAGCAGUGCUGCCGCGUCCCGCAGGAUGCAGCGCAGCGGCCCGUACGGCUGCACGGAGCCGCCGCUGGCGGAUGCCCGCCUCGUACAAGGUCACAGCGUGCGCCUCGACACCACGUUCGCGCUGCCGCCCGAGGUGGUACAUCGCGCCUUGAAAGAUCGCUGUCGCUACAUCCAGUUCCCUGCCAAUCUUCCCGUCUUCCCUAAGGCUGGCACACUCGGCCCCAACGCGAACAACGGCAACAACUCGAGCUCGAAUGGUAGCACCGGCAGCGGCGGCUCUGGCGAGAGCAGUCUUCCGAUUGCCCUUUUCAUUGGCCAAGUGCGAUUCGAGACGACGGCCGCGGAGCUUCUGUGGCUUGUGCAUCGCACCUGCGGGGCCUGCGCGAGCCACCUCGAGAGCCGUGGUGCGGGGUGCUAUCUUCUGUACUGCAAGAGCGAGGCCGACCUGACGCUGGUUCGCAGCCUGCACAAGCGCAUUCUCUUCGACAUUGGUGGCGUAUGGCUCGCCCGUACAGCAGACGAGGUGGACGCGAUGUGUGAGUACAUCGCGCUUGACGCACCGCUUCUCUCCAAGAAGGCUCGCCUGCCGCGCGAUUCAAUGGUGGUCGAGGAGCUAAAGGCGGAUGCUAUCAACAGCGGAGGUCGUCGCGGGCACGAAAAGCGAGCCAUGAGCGACCAUAGCAUCUCUGGAAACCGGAGGGGUGGUGGCCGCGGCGCCAGUGCACAAGGCUCUGGUGUCGACGACAUGUCGCAGACGGCGAGCGGUGAUGCCCGUCAGCAGCCCAUGCAGCAGCAGCAGCAGCGGCGGCGGGAUCAAGAGGGACUCCCAACGUAUGAGGAGUCAGCUCCACCAUACCCUGGAUACCCACCCCAGUCCUUCGGAGAAUGCCCUCUCUACAAGUAAGCCGUUCGAUGCACCUGCAGGACAGGAGAUCCACGUCGAGAAUCGAGAGCUCACGGGCUCCAUCUCGCUUCGCCUGGGCGAAACCUCUCAACCCAUGGCUGGCUCAACUUGCACUCCCUUCUUUGUUGCGACGGUCUGGGAGCGUCCAGUACACUGCCCGAGCUCCCACUGACGCAUACACGGCUGUAAAGCGUCUCCUUCUCCUGAGCGUCCGUGUCUGUACUUGUCUCUGUGAUGUGUGCAGGUCUUUGUAUCUUUCUGUCUGGUCGCGCGCCAAUACGGGCCGAAUCAUCCCCCCCCCGCGAUGUUCACUCCGUGUUGGCUGUCCCUCUCUCCUUUUUCUUUUUUUUGGGGUGGGGGGGGCUUUUUUCUGUCGCCAAUGCCUGUUCCGCCCACCGAGCCACCGGACAAACUUGAUCGUCCUUCUGUCCGCCUUCUCCUCUCUCUGCAUGUCGUUGCCCGCGUCUUUUUUCGAAUUGUGGUUUUGCACCGUGCACUCUCUCCGCCAGCUUGUUCGCUUCUUGAGGGAGCGAGCGACAGCGCGAAAAAAGGUCCUGGCCGUGUGCAUUUUUAUGUGUGUUUCUACCAGUGUAGGUCAUAGUUGUGGUCAGGCGCAUAACAGACGCGCUUCAACUGCCGAAACCGUCCCUUCAUCCCAGAUCCUUUCCUUCGUGGCGUCUUUUUUUUACCCUGUUCUUUUUUUCGUCGAGAGCAGGAGCUGCAGGGGAACGACAAAAUAUGCACGCAUGCACACACGCGCUCGAAGAAUGCAGAACUUGCAAAAAUGGCGAAGGGGAAAAAGCUUCCCGGCGCAUCGGUGAGCCGUCGAGAGCGCUAGAAAGCGGUAAAGGCAGCAAACGAGACAAGCGCAGGGCCCAGCCAAAGGUGAUGCAAUGGUGGCUCGGUGCAAGAGGGAUGCUGGUGCCCUCUCGGCUGUGGCGGCUCUUUGGCUGUGAAACACGCGCAGACGGCGAGGAGGGCGGAUGCGAAACAAACAAAAAAGGCACACACACACAAUGCGAGACCCUCGGCGGAUGCAGAGGCAGAGCGGAAGCUAUUCCGUGAUGCGAAUGCUGGUGCCGCAUGGCGUGUGUAAAUUCACAUGCGGCUGCUCCUCUGUGCUUGUGCGGUGGGCCGUUUGUGCAACACGUUUUUUUUCGUUUGGAUGUUUCUGAUUUGCGUUUUACUCUCGCCUUCCUCCGCUUUAUAAAGAGAGAAGAAAAAAAAGAAGAACAUGUAUCACUACUCCACAACGCAGAUGUGACGGACGGUAGUGACGUCCACACGUACGCACAAGGAUAGCAGUCACCUUUUCUUUUCUCUUGCCGCCGUUCAGCGACCAGUGCGAGAUCGAGAGCGUGGGUGCGAGAUGAGACGAGAGACGAGAGGCGGAAGCGCGCAGGGGAGCAUGGGUGUCUAUCUAUAUAUAUAUAUAUACAUCUAAGUGUACAAUCUUCUACGAAAAAAGAAAACACACACACGCACAAAGACACACGUGCGCGGCCCACCCUGCACUUUCCCCUAUUUGCUCGUUUCUUACAUGUUUCUCCCCCUUCCUCUUCUUUUAAAUCUCCUUUUGGCGUCUUUCGUUUCCUCGGUUUGCUUCCUUCUCCUCUUCGGCCAUGGCGUUGUUCGUGUUGUUGUCAUUUUACGCACACCAG